CAGUAUUCAAAAAAUGGUUGUUUUUCAUUUCUUUACUCCGACUCCUAUGAUGAACAUGUACGUAAAAAAACUAGGGAAACUACGAUUAUAUAUAGAAACUAAAGUAGGUAAAUUUUUUAUGGGACUCCAUAAAAGGUGAGGAUAUAAGAGUGAGAGAUCGAAAUUGAGUAUAGGAAAGGCAACCCUACACGCGUUUCGACCUAACAGUCUUCUUCAGCAGGGUUUUUUAAAGGGGGGGCGGUGUAUAUAGAAUUUGCAGAGGAGAAGAAAGGAGAGUUUAGGAGUUCGGAAAAUAAUGUGAACUCAGUUGGAUCCUCUACGUAGCAAAAUCCACACCAGAACUAGCUAUAGCUAUCUAUUGGUCAUAUCGUAUCAUUCAUUUACUAAUCUCUGUUAUUAUUGUAUAUUCAUAUAUUUCAAACAAACCGUGCACGGUGUUAUUAUCAUUAUUUUUAUCCCUUAUGUAUCACUAAUUGCCAAACGCCCCUAUCCCUGUCUUAUAAGCUCCUACACCACAACACCAUAUUUGGAUGCAAUCACCUACAGUCACAAGUUUUCCGAACUCCUAUAAACUCUCCUUCCUUCUCCUCUUCAAAUUAUAUCUACCCCCCCCCCUCUUAAAAAACCCUGCUGAAGAGAACUGUUAGGUCAAAACGCAUACCCCUGUACGCUAUUCCUACUCAAUUUCAAUCUCUCGCUCUUAUAUCCUCGCCUUUGAUUGUGUCCCAUAAAAAUUUCACCUAUUUUACUUUCUACGGCCGUGAUUUAAUCGUAGUAACCUAGUUUAACCUAGUUUUUUAUGUACAUAUUCAUCAUAGGAGUCGGAGUAAAGAAAUAAAGAACAACCAUUUUUGGAAUUAUACUGGUCCUCCCAUUAUUUAGGCUACAAGGCCGUAGGAAGCUCUUUUUUAUUGGGGGGGGGCUGAAAGCGAGGGCCGAAGGCCCGAGGAAAUUUUUAAAUUUAGAGUCUCUGAAAUGCCAUUUCCUGGACCCUGCAGUCCACCAUGCCCCCCCCCCUCCAGUUGCUACAUACGGCCCUGGGCUACACGCGGAAAUGCACCGAAUGGCAAAUAAGGAUUACCACUCGAAAAUCUUGCUCGAUAUUUUUUUCGUCCGUUUAUUCUUGCACGAUAAUUUUUUAAAGUUCGAAUUGCUUGCUCGAUAUUUUUUUGGGGA